rnacentral:tRNA from 1 species
UGGCCAAGCUGGUUAAGGCGUGCGACUGUUAAUCGCAAGAUCGUGAGUUCGAUCCUCAC